rnacentral:rRNA from 1 species
UACGAAGGGGGCUAGCGUUGCUCGGAGUCACUGGGCGUAAAGCGCACGUAGGCGGACUCUUAAGUCGGUGGUGAAAUCCUGGAGCUCAACUCCAGAACUGCCUUCGAUACUGAGAGUCUUGAGUCCGGGAGAGGUGAGUGGAACUGCGAGUGUAGAGGUGAAAUUCGUAGAUAUUCGCAAGAACACCAGUGGCGAAGGCGGCUCACUGGCCCGGUACUGACGCUGAGGUGCGAAAGCGUGGGGAGCAAACAGG